rnacentral:rRNA from 1 species
GUACACUCCUACGGGAGGCAGCAGUGGGGAAUAUUGGACAAUGGGCGCAAGCCUGAUCCAGCCAUGCCGCGUGAGUGAUGAAGGCCCUAGGGUUGUAAAGCUCUUUCACCGGUGAAGAUAACGACGGUAACCGGAGAAGAAGCCCCGGCUAACUUCGUGCCAGCAGCCGCGGUAAUACGAAGGGGGCUAGCGUUGUUCGGAUUUACUGGGCGUAAAGCGCACGUAGGCGGACUAUUAAGUCAGGGGUGAAAUCCCGGGGCUCAACCCCGGAACUGCCUUUGAUACUGGUAGUCUUGAGUUCGAGAGAGGUGAGUGGAAUUCCGAGUGUAGAGGUGAAAUUCGUAGAUAUUCGGAGGAACACCAGUGGCGAAGGCGGCGCACUGGCUCGAUACUGACGCUGAGGUGCGAAAGCGUGGGGAGCAAACAGGAGUAGAUACCCGUGUAGUCCCAUG